GAUGAACGCUGGCGGCGUGCCUAAUACAUGCAAGUCGAGCGAACGGACGAGAAGCUUGCUUUUCUGAUGUUAGCGGCGGACGGGUGAGUAACGCGUGGAUAACCUACCUAUAAGACUGGGAUAACUUCGGGAAACCGGAGCUAAUACCGGAUAAUAUUUUGAACCGCAUGGUUCAAAAGUGAAAGACGGUCUUGCUGUCACUUAUAGAUGGAUCCGCGCUGCAUUAGCUAGUUGGUAAGGUAACGGCUUACCAAGGCAACGAUGCAUAGCCGACCUGAGAGGGUGAUCGGCCACACUGGAACUGAGACACGGUCCAGACUCCUACGGGAGGCAGCAGUAGGGAAUCUUCCGCAAUGGGCGAAAGCCUGACGGAGCAACGCCGCGUGAGUGAUGAAGGUCUUCGGAUCGUAAAACUCUGUUAUUAGGGAAGAACAUAUGUGUAAGUAACUGUGCACAUCCUGACGGUACCUAAUCAGAAAGCCACGGCUAACUACGUG
rnacentral:rRNA from 1 species